UCCAGGGCUGAUGGCAGGUUUCAAACCCAACUCUUACCUGUUUUCAGAGCUCACUCUCUGGCACUGGAAAAUGGAGUUUCAACUUGUGAACACAAGAACAUCUUGUGAACAACCUAAAGAGAAGCCAGGUGUCAGCCAGUUCUUCCUGACCAAUCACUGCUUAAACAUUACAAAACCAGAUUUUAAAAUAACCACCAGUACUUUGCCAACGAACUCAAAUUCUGUGAGAGCUCAGCAAUAUUAACAUGAAACCCUGGAGGGUUUAUGUGGUUGGCUCUGGGCCACCAGCAGUAUCAUCUGACUUGAUGCUCCCAGUAAGAGCAUGAACUCUGGAGCCAGACUGCCUGGGAUCAAAUCCAGCUCUACUAUGAACCAUCUGUGAGGCAAGUUACUCAACUUCCUUAGGCUCCAUUUGUGUCAUCUGCCACAUAGAAGUCAGAUACUUCUUAAAGCUGUGAAUAUUAAAUGAAAGCUAUAACCAUGCUGGCUUUAAUUAUUACUGUUACGAUGCUAAUAAUCUCUGUGUACUGUUUUCAGGUGG